rnacentral:rRNA from 1 species
ACAAUGAAGAGUUUGAUCCUGGCUCAGGAUGAACGCUAGCUACAGGCUUAACACAUGCAAGUCGAGGGGCAUCAGGAAGAAAGCUUGCUUUCUUUGCUGGCGACCGGCGCACGGGUGAGUAACACGUAUCCAACCUGCCCUUUACUCGGGGAUAGCCUUUCGAAAGAAAGAUUAAUACCCGAUAGCAUAAUGAUUCCGCAUGGUUUCAUUAUUAAAGGAUUCCGGUAAAGGAUGGGGAUGCGUUCCAUUAGGUUGUUGGUGAGGUAACGGCCCACCAAGCCUUCGAUGGAUAGGGGUUCUGAGAGGAAGGUCCCCCACAUUGGAACUGAGACACGGUCCAAACUCCUACGGGAGGCAGCAGUGAGGAAUAUUGGUCAAUGGGCGCUAGCCUGAACCAGCCAAGUAGCGUGAAGGAUGAAGGCUCUAUGGGUCGUAAACUUCUUUUAUAUAAGAAUAAAGUGCAGUAUGUAUACUGUUUUGUAUGUAUUAUAUGAAUAAGGAUCGGCUAACUCCGUGCCAGCAGCCGCGGUAAUACGGAGGAUCCGAGCGUUAUCCGGAUUUAUUGGGUUUAAAGGGAGCGUAGGUGGACUGGUAAGUCAGUUGUGAAAGUUUGCGGCUCAACCGUAAAAUUGCAGUUGAUACUGUCAGUCUUGAGUACAGUAGAGGUGGGCGGAAUUCGUGGUGUAGCGGUGAAAUGCUUAGAUAUCACGAAGAACUCCGAUUGCGAAGGCAGCUCACUGGACUGCAACUGACACUGAUGCUCGAAAGUGUGGGUAUCAAACAGGAUUAGAUACCCUGGUAGUCCACACAGUAAACGAUGAAUACUCGCUGUUUGCGAUAUACAGUAAGCGGCCAAGCGAAAGCAUUAAGUAUUCCACCUGGGGAGUACGCCGGCAACGGUGAAACUCAAAGGAAUUGACGGGGGCCCGCACAAGCGGAGGAACAUGUGGUUUAAUUCGAUGAUACGCGAGGAACCUUACCCGGGCUUAAAUUGCAGUGGAAUGAUGUGGAAACAUGUCAGUGAGCAAUCACCGCUGUGAAGGUGCUGCAUGGUUGUCGUCAGCUCGUGCCGUGAGGUGUCGGCUUAAGUGCCAUAACGAGCGCAACCCUUAUCUUUAGUUACUAACAGGUCAUGCUGAGGACUCUGGAGAGACUGCCGUCGUAAGAUGUGAGGAAGGUGGGGAUGACGUCAAAUCAGCACGGCCCUUACGUCCGGGGCUACACACGUGUUACAAUGGGGGGUACAGAAGGCAGCUAGCGGGUGACCGUAUGCUAAUCCCAAAA